rnacentral:rRNA from 1 species
GCGUAGCCGAGUUGAGAGACUGAUCGGCCACAAUGGAACUGAGACACGGUCCAUACUCCUACGGGAGGCAGCAGUAGGGAAUCUUCCACAAUGGGCGCAAGCCUGAUGGAGCAACACCGCGUGAGUGAAGAAGGGUUUCGGCUCGUAAAGCUCUGUUGUUAAAGAAGAACAUGCGUGAGAGUAACUGUUCACGCAUUGACGGUAUUUAACCAGAAAGUCACGGCUAACUACGUGCCAGCAGCCGCGGUAAUACGUAGGUGGCAAGCGUUAUCCGGAUUUAUUGGGCGUAAAGAGAGUGCAGGCGGUUUACUAAGUCUGAUGUGAAAGCCUUCGGCUUAACCGGAGAAGGGCAUCGGAAACUGGCUAACUUAAGUGCAGAAGAGGGUAGUGGAACUCCAUGUGUAGCGGUGGAAUGCGUAGAUAUAUGGAAGAACACCAGUGGCGAAGGCGGCUACCUGGUCUGUAACUGACGCUGAGACUCGAAAGCAUGGGUAGCGAACAGGAUUAGAUACCCUGGUAGUCCAUGCCGUAAACGAUGAGGGGUAGGUGUGGAGGGGUUCCCCCCCUCAGUGCGGGAGCUAACGCAUUAACCACUCCCGCCUGGGGAGUACGACCGCAAGGUUGAAACUCAAAGGAAUUGACGGGGGCCCGCACAAGCGGUGGAGCAUGUGGUGUAAUUCGAAGCUACGCGAAGAACCUUACCAGGGUUCUUGACAUCUUGCGCCAACCCUAGAGAUAGGGCGUUUCCUUCGGGAACGCAAUGACAGGUGGUGCAUGGUCGUCGUCAGCUCGUGUCGUGAGAUGUUGGGUUAAGUCCCGCAACGAGCGCAACCCUUGUUACUAGUUGCCAGCAUUCAGUUGGGCACUCUAGUGAGACUGCCGGUGACAAACCGGAGGAAGGUGGGGACGACGUCAGAUCAUCAUGCCCCUUAUGACCUGGGCUACACACGUGCUACAAUGGACGGUACAACGAGUCGCGAACUCGCGAGGGCAAGCAAAUCUCUGAAAACCGUUCUCAGUUCGGACUGCAGGCUGCAACUCGCCUGCACGAAGUCGGAAUCGCUAGUAAUCGCGGAUCAGCAUGCCGCGGUGAAUACGUUCCCGGGCCUUGCACACACCGCCCGUCA